CACGUAGGGUGCGAGCGUUUGUCCGGAAUUAUUGGGCGUAAAGAGCUCGUAGGCGGUGUGUCGCGUCGGCCGUGAAAACCUGCAGCUUAACUGUGGGCUUGCGGUCGAUACGGGCAUCACUGGAGUUCGGCAGGGGAGACUGGAAUUCCUGGUGUAGCGGUGAAAUGCGCAGAUAUCAGGAGGAACACCGGUGGCGAAGGCGGGUCUCUGGGCAGUAACUGACGCUGAGGAGCGAAAGCGUGGGGAGCGAACAGG
rnacentral:rRNA from 1 species